CUUUGGUGCUGAAGAAUGAGAAUUAGGAUCAAGAGAAGUUACUUUGCACCGCUCCAGCCUAAGCAUUCUCAGGUUGCGAAGACGAAGGAAGGAGGAAUAUCCUAUAGGACUUACUACGCAGCCGAGAAGGUCUAGCACUCGAACGUUGCUGAGAUAGUCGAAGAAGCCGUCCGGUAGAGCUAAUUCGUGUGUUUUCUCAAAACGCCAAAAAACGGAUGAAACAUCAGACAUGACUGAACCACGAUAUUCUUUGAAGAAGAAAUCCCAUGGCUCUGGAUUAUUAGUUUGAGGAGAGCAUACUGAGAUCCAACGGUAACCCUCUUCCUCCUCCUUCGAUGAUGAUGGUGAUGAGAACUUUACCCAAUCUCCUUGUGUGGUAGAGUCGAUCGAUAAAGUUUUUGGGGGCAACAACAACAAGUCAGACGCACUCGGCGUCCAAGUGGAAAAGGUAUCAUGCCAAUAUUGUAGUUGUUGAUCAUUUACUAUAGGUCCAAUCAGCGGAGCUAGUGCUUUCACAAUCUCCCACGCCGCAUCUCCUUGUAAAAUUCCGUCGCACACAAAAUACUUGACAGCAUCUUCCAGGGGCCGACCAUCAUCGGGUAGUAGUGCUGAUCGGUUAAACGCUGCUCUACGCAACAACAGCAGGCAAUACCAAAAGCAACGGAGGACUACUUGCCCGGCGGUCCGCAAGCGCCCACCGCUGCUCUCAUCAAUGUAACGGGCAAUCUCGACGGCCUCCUUGUACACAAGAUCAAGUGCGGUUGUUCUGCCUGAUGGCUCAAUCCUUAGGAUAAAAUCUGCACUUGCUGAUGCGACUUCCCUGGUUAUAUUCAUCCCAGAGGUCCACAACACCGCAUUGCCUCUCGACCGCCCUAUGAUAGAAUAAGGCAAUCUAAGAGGUUGAAUUAACUGGCCACCCGCAAUAUUAUUGCAAAGGACGAGCAGCACUCUACGAUCCUUCACAGCUCUGUUUAUCUCCCUUAAGACCUCCGAAACCAGGUCUCUUGAGCUGAGUUCCUCACCCGAGAAGUCGUUGUCUUCGUCUUCCGCGUCGAACGCGGCCGUCACCGAAGGAGAUAGUAGAUUCAGCUGCUCUGCCACCGCCCUCUGCAUCUCCCUGCGGUUCCGAAAUGGUGCGGGCCGCACCACCUUGAUCACCGUCUCAAACACGCGCUUCCCCCGCGUCUCGACCGCUUCCGCCACCUCUCGGAGUAAAGCGGUCGCCCCGACUCCCUUCCAUGCCUCCACGCAGAUCUUCUGUACGUACCCACGGAGCAAGCCUUCAAGCACAAGACUCUUUGCCUCGUCGUAGUCGCAUUCACGGAAAUUCAUGGCCGUACAUAUAUAUAUAUAUAUAUAUAUAUAUAUAUAUAUAUAGAUAGAUAGGUAGGUUUUAAUUAAUCGAGCGUCAAUCCAUGCAUCAACGGUGAGAGCAUUCAUUCACCGAGUUAGUUAAUUUAAGUUGGCCUUGUUCAUAAUUAAUCAAUCCUCCCUGCAUGCUUCAGCUGCUCCACAUGGGAAAUCGACAGGACUGGAUAAUAGAGCAAAUAACACCAUCAGAUCACAGCGUCGACAUUUAUAACCCUUUCGAUUUGGGGUAAACUUUUCAAUUCACCCCUCCCUACGUCGUUUAAUUAGUACGUGCAUUUUUAUUUUUACCAUACUGUUGUUCAAAAAAUAAAUUUAUAUUUAAUUAUUCUACAAUUAAUUUAAGAUAUUUUUAAUUUGUCGUACUGUAAUUUAAAAAGUUGGGUCUAUGAUUUUAUUUUUGUCUUAGUUAAAACGAAGCAUCAUCGUAUGAUUUUCAAAAAAAUAUCAUUUUUAUAUCUUGUUUAAUUAACAGCGGGUCGUUACGAUGUAAUAAAAAUAAAAAUUACGGGGUAGUUAAUAAAUGCAACUAUGUGAACCGCAUGAUGUGACAAAAAAUAAAAAAUGUGCAAAUCUACAGACAGAUAAAUUGAAGUUUUUCCAAUGUUUUAAGAUUAGAAUAAAUUCGGACAGCAAAGUUUUAGGAGAAUGCAUAGAAUAUAUCUAAAUUUUAAAUUUGGAAUAUCUAAUCGUGGAAAGAGUAAUAAAUCUGNCAUGAGCUCAAAGGCUUUCCCUGCUAGAAGAAACGUAUCGGCAUUUGAGUUGUAUAAAUUCAAGACCCAUAAGUUAUCAAAAAGUAUUGGUUCUCGUCCCCCCUCUGGUGCCGACGAAUGUGAAUUAGGAUCAAGAGAAGUUACUUUGCACCGCUCCAGCCUAAGCAUUCUCAGGUUGCGAAGACGAAGGAAGGAGGAAUGUUCUAUAGGACUUACUACGCAGCCGAGAAGGUCUAGCACUCGAACGUUGCUGAAAUGGUCGAAGAAGCCGUCCGGUAGAGCUUGGUGUGUUUCCUCAAAAUGCCCAAAGAAGGAUGAAACGCCGGACGUGACUGGAUUGCGACAUACUUUGAAGAAGAAAUUCCAUGGCUCUGGAAUAUUAGUUUGAGGAGAGCGCACCGAGAUCCACCGGUAACUCGCAUCCUCCUCCUCCGAUGAUGGCAAUGAGAACUUUACCCAAUCUCCCCGUAUGGUAGAGUCGAUCAAUAAUGUUUUCGGUGGCAAAAACUCUUUUCCUUUUCCUCUCGGCGUCCAAGUGGAAAAAGUAUCCUCCCAGUAUUGCAGUAGUUGAUCAUUUACCAUGGAUCCAAUCAGCGGAGCUAGUGCUUUCCCAAUCUCCCACGCCACCGCAUCAUCUCCUCGUAAAAUUCCGUCGCACACAAAAUACUUGACAACAGCUUCCAGGGGCCGACCACCACGGGGUAUUAGUACUGAUUGAUUAAACGCUGCUCUACGCAACAACAGCAAGCAAUACCAAAAGCAGCAGAGGACUACUUGCCCGGUGGUCCGCAAGCUCCCGCCGCUGCUCUCGUCAAUGUAACGGGCAAUCUCGUCGGCCUCCUUGUACACAAGAUCAAGUGCGGUUGUUCCGUAUGAUGGCUGAAUCCUUACGAUCCGCUCCGCACUCGCUGACGCGGCUUCCAUGCUAAUAUUCAUCCCAGAGGUCCACAACACCGCAUUGCCUUUCGGCCACCCUAUGAUAGAAAAAGGCAAUGUAUAAGGUUCAAUUAAUUUGCCACCCGCAACAUUAUUGCAAAGGACGAGCAGCACUCUAGUACGAUCCCUCAGAGCUCUGUUUAUCUCCUCUGCGACCUUCCAAAGCAUGCCUCUUGAGCUGAAUUCCACACCCCAGAAGUCGUCGUCUUCGUCCGCUGCGUCGAACGUGGCAGCCGUCGUCACCGAAGGAGAUCGUAGUAGAUGAUUCAGCUGCUCCGCCACCGCCCUCUGCAUCUCCCUGCGGUUCCCAAAUGGUGCGGGCCCCCGCGCCUCGACCUCUUCCGCCACCUCUCGGAGUAAAGCGGUCGCCCCGACUCCCUUCCAUGCCUCCACGUAGAUCUUCUGAUGGAACCCACGGAGCAAGUAUUCGAGCAAUCCACUCUUUGCGUCGUUGUAGUCGCGUUCAAUGAUAUUCAUGGCGGUAUAUAUAUAUAUAUAUAUAUAUAUAUAUAUAUAUAUAGAGUCCGGCUACUAUACUAUCGAUAAUAUCAAGUCCUUGGUACUAUUGAGUUUUCUAUCGUUAGAUCAAUCCUUUGAUCAUUUCCACCCGUUAGACUAUACUAUUAAACCAACCACCCACUCAACCCUAGGGAACCACUAUCAAUUUAAUCGGGGACCACUAUCAUCCUAACCGCACAUCCUUUCAUCCAACAGCCGAAAACUUAAUAGUACAAAGGGCUUGGUACUAUUGAUAGUAUAGUAGCAUAAUUCUAUAUAUAUAUAUAUA
rnacentral:lncRNA from 1 species